AGUGAACGCUGGCGGUAGGCCUAACACAUGCAAGUCGAACGGCAGCACAGUAAGAGCUUGCUCUUACGGGUGGCGAGUGGCGGACGGGUGAGGAAUACAUCGGAAUCUACUUUUUCGUGGGGGAUAACGUAGGGAAACUUACGCUAAUACCGCAUACGACCUACGGGUGAAAGCAGGGGAUCUUCGCACCUUGCGCGAUUGAAUGAGCCGAUGUCGGAUUAGCUAGUUGGCUGGGUAAAGGCCCACCAAGGCGACGAUCCGUAGCUGGUCUGAGAGGAUGAUCAGCCACACUGGAACUGAGACACGGUCCAGACUCCUACGGGAGGCAGCAGUGGGGAAUAUUGGACAAUGGGCGCAAGCCUGAUCCAGCCAUACCGCGUGGGUGAAGAAGGCCUUCGGGUUGUAAAGCCCUUUUGUUGGGAAAGAAAAGCAGCAGGUUAAUACCCCGCUGUUCUGACGGUACCCAAAGAAUAAGCACCGGCUAACUUCGUG
rnacentral:rRNA from 1 species